AAGGCUUCAACCUUACAUUGUCUGCUGGUCAAUACAUUUGUUUAACACUCGACAUAUUAUACACAUAUGUAUGUGUAUAAUACACAUACAUAUGUGUUUAAUACACAUAUAUGUGUAUUAUAUAAGUGAAAUGAAAUAUAGACGUAGAAAUAAAAUUAAAGUGAAAAGAAGAAAAAGGUCAUAUAAAAGUACUCACCAGAAUGUUGAAGUGAAAUCUGUUCCGUUCUUGUCUCUCCGUCUCCCUCUCUCUGUCUGUCUCUAUGUCUGUCUCUCCGUCUCUCUCUCUGUCUCUGGUCUGUGUCUCCCGGGCCUUGUGGUCUCUCUUUUAUAUGUAAAGGUGGCUGCAGCAGGUGAACGCGCCAACAUCAAUGAGGAUGAGGACGACAGAGACUCACCUCCCUGGCAAAUGAUUGGCCGGUGUCAGGUGGGCGUGGCUACAGAUGAUGAGCUGAAACGACAGACAGUGGAUUUCCCCGUCCUCUGCAGCGUCACAUGAUCUGGGCUCAGGUUGAUGUCGGUGUUUUGGACCUGAAAGGUUGGGACUGGAUGAGUUGAUGCAGACAGACACCGCAGGCUUCACUUUCAUAUCAGCUGAUCCUGGAUCACUUUCAUACAGUGAUCCUGUCUGGUAUGUCUGUAAUUCAUCCUGCUGAUGGAGAGAUGAGACUUAUUGCUGUGCUGGCAGACGCUGCGGCUCGCCACCGUCGCCACCGUCGCCACCGUCUCCUCACGCUCUCAACCUAACUUCAUCUCACCUCACAGGAAUCCAGAAAACUAAUAACCGUCUGAGUUCUUCCCUGUAAUGAAGAGAAAACACCUCGUGUUCCCUGUAAGAUCAUUGUCAAGGUCAACUUGAGAGCAGGUUGACCUUUAACCUCACAAAAUAAAACGUUAUAAAUGAUUCAACAGGGAGUCGUCCAAUCCUUGUAAGUUUGUUUACUGUGAAACUAAAAUAAUCAAAUAUUUAAUUUCCCACGAAAAGAAACAGAAAUAUUCAGUGAAACGUGGUGUGAUGGACGGGUGACCUGUCCACACUCUGUCAGCUGGGAUUGGCACCAGCGACCUCUGUGACCCUUAUGUGGAGGAUAAAACUGUAGAAGAUGAAUGAAUGGACGGACAGAGGAAUGGAGGGACAGACACAUGGACUGGUGGAUGGAUGGAAGCUCUAUAAACAUGAGACAGAGCAUCGUAGAGUUCCGAGUGUCCUAGGGUUCCGAGCGUCCCUAGGGCUCCGAGCAUCCUAGGGCUCCGAGUGUCGUAGGGUUCCGAGUGUCCUAGGGCUCCGAGCGUCCUAGGGCUCCGAGUGUCGUAGGGUUCCGAGUGUCCUAGGGCUCCGAGCGUCCUAGGGC